CGGACGGGUGAGUAAUGCCUAGGAAAUUGCCCUGAUGUGGGGAUAACCAUUGGAAACGAUGGCUAAUACCGCAUAACAGCUUCGGCUCAAAGAGGGGGACCUUCGGCCUCUCGCGUCAGGAUAUGCCUAGGUGGGAUUAGCUAGUUGGUGAGGUAAAGGCUCACCCAAGGCGACGAUCCCUAGCUGGUCUGAGAGGAUGAUCAGCCACACUGGAACUGAGACACGGUCCAGACUCCUACGGGAGGCAGCAGUGGGGAAUAUUGCACAAUGGGCGCAAGCCUGAUGCAGCCAUGCCGCGUGUGUGAAGAAGGCCUUCGGGUUGUAAAGCACUUUCAGUCGUGAGGAAGGCGGCGUCGUUAAUAGCGGCGUUGUUUGACGUUAGCGACAGAAGAAGCACCGGCUAACUCCGUG
rnacentral:rRNA from 1 species